GCCCAGUUGGCGGAAUUGGUAGACGCGCUGGUCUCAAACACCAGUGGGAGACCGUGCCGGUUCGACUCCGGCACUGGGUA
rnacentral:tRNA from 1 species